ACUUCUUGAUUGGAAGAGGCGAUUUGCCAUGUCCUGAAGUACCAUGUGAAGAGUACAAAGGAAACUUACGAAAACGUAGAGAGAUUUGCAAUGCUAUGGUGGAUGGGUUUUGGCGACGCUGGAUGGAAUGUAUGCAUAAACUUUCACCACGACACAAAUGGCUGAAAUCCACUGAGAAUCUGAUUAAAGGAGACAUAGUGCUCGUCAUUGGUGAGGAGAAGAAACGCGGCCUUUGGAAAAUGGCUGAAGUCAUUAAACCCAGGGAAGGAUGAUCUUGUGAGAGUUGUGGACAUCAACUUUGCUGAUGGAACCAAUGCGAAGAAACCUGUCACCAAACUAAUCCUACUAAUGAAAAGCACAGAACGAUCAGACAUAUAGAGUUUGAGUAUGUCUGUACUGUGUAUGGGUGUACGCCGAACGCUGCCCAAAGAAAUCAAUAUGUGAAUUACUGUGUAAUGAUUACAGUACAUAAUUAUCGUUGUUUGUUGGACUUUGAGAUAUGUAUUCACACUCAUUUGGAUUACGUGAUUCGUUUUUGGACUUACUGAAAUCAUCAGUUUGCACUUCGUUGUGAUUAGUGUGGCACUUUGAUUACCAAUUAUACUAUUGUAAACCAAAUUGAGACAUUUUGUAUGAACAUUUUUAAACCUUUUUUGCAGUUUGAUGUUAUAUUUGUGACAUUCCGUCACUCUUUGGGGGAAUGGGAUAUCAUGACAUCAUGACAUGUUUGUUACGCCUGCGCGUAAUAAUUUACUAUGCCGCCACGCGCGAACUGGUUAUCGGUGGGAGACAACAACAUGAGAUGUUGUGACAGUCUAUACUAUUUUUUACCACUGGAUCUUCAUGUAUUAUUAUAUACUAUAUCAUUUAUCGAGAGCGGUUUCUGUACAGUACGUGCUGAUGACAUGUGAUGCGAUAGUGACAUGGCGAGGAUGAAGAGUGUAGAACACCACAGACUUAGUGUGUGUAUACAUACAUAAAAAAAGAAAGCUGGAUGUAUUGGUCCUAUGAUAUCCACCGCAAUUUAAACGGAGUAUCAAUUAAAGGCAUUGGCCCUAACAAUGCUCUACUGCAACCCUACAAAUGUCGCACGAUCUGCAAUAUCGUUGAACAUACCCCUGUAGACCUGGCCAAUAGAACACGUUCAAGAUCUUUUCCAUCAUCUUUCCUACUAUAAGAUGACCCGCCAUCGAGACGUCAUGGAUGGAACCACCAAUUUGAU